AAAAAUAAACAACAACCAACAAAAAAAGGAUAAUAGUCACAACUCCCACCACCUUUUGAGUGUGGGGGUUUCGUUUCUUCUUGUCAGCAAGCAUGGCCAACAAACUCUCUUUCUCUUUCUCUUUCUCUUUCUCUUUCUCUUU
rnacentral:ribozyme from 13 species